rnacentral:misc_RNA from 1 species
GAAAUGCGAUAAGUAAUGUGAAUUGCAGAAUUCCGUGAAUCAUCGAAUCUUUGAACAUACAUUGCGCCCUCUGGUAUUCCGGGGGGCAUGCCUGUCCGAGCGUCAUUGCGAACCCCUCAAGCACGGCUUGUGUGAUGGGCCCUCCCGCGUCUUGGUCGUCAAGACGGGCCCGAAAAGCAGUGGCGGCUUCGCGGUUAUCCGAUCAGCCAGAGCGUAUGGGGACUUUCUCUCUGUCACACGCCCGCGGCGCGGACCGACGCCUGUCGACCUUUAUUCAUCUUUUUCUCGGUUGACCUCGGAUCAGGUAGGGAUACCCGCUGAACUUAAGC